UCAGGUACUAGGUGACUCUGAGUGGCCGCUCUCGGAGCCGCCUCGUGCCUCAGC
rnacentral:precursor_RNA from 1 species